CUUCCAACCGAGCUUCCCACCGAAAUUCCAUCACGAGUGAAAAACAAAGAAACCAACUUAGUGCAAGGAAAAACCGUCUGAAAUAUUCACAAAAACUAAUAUUUUUCAUCGUUAUAAGUUCGCAAGAAUAACCAUUAUUGUUGAACGAGAAGCGUGUUAUCGAAACGAGAUCUAUCGCAAUGUCUUCCGCAUGUUACGUAACCCCAACAGAGUUUGUAUGCAGUCCCACCAGGAACUCGGACCGGAAAAUCACGACGCUUUGACCACGGAACCUGUUCGCUUAUUGGCAAUGCCGAAUUAACAUAAUGCAUCUUCAUCAAAAAGACGAAUAACCAAAGAAAAAAUAUUUCGGUUUUUGCUACAUUUUUUUGCGAUUCGAGUGUAUUAUGUGAUAUUAUGUGACAUAUAUGUGAAAAGAACAUCUUAAUCUGAAAUCGCUUGUUAUAAUAAAGAAAUUAUGAAUACA